UACGUGGAGGGGCAAGCGUUGUCCGGAUUUACUGGGCGUAAAGAGCGUGUAGGCGGCCAAACAGGUCCGUUGUGAAAACUCGAGGCUCAACCUCGAGACGCCGAUGGAAACCAUCUAGCUAGAGUCCGGAAGAGGAGAGUGGAAUUCCUGGUGUAGCGGUGAAAUGCGCAGAUAUCAGGAAGAACACCCGUGGCUAAGGCGGCUCUCUAGUACGGUACUGACGCUGAGACGCGAAAGCGUGGGGAGCGAACAGG
rnacentral:rRNA from 1 species